AGGACGAACGCUGGCGGCGUGCUUAACACAUGCAAGUCGAACGAGGUGCUUCGGCACUUAGUGGCGAACGGGUGAGUAACACGUGAGCAACCUGCCCUUGGCUCUGGGAUAGCCUCCGGAAACGGGGAUUAAUACCGGACAUGACCUUCUUCCGCAUGGGGGAGGGUGGAAAGUUUUUCGGCCAGGGAGGGGCUCGCGGCCUAUCAGCUUGUUGGGGGGGUAACGGCCCACCAAGGCGACGACGGGUAGCC
rnacentral:rRNA from 1 species